UGAAUAAAAAAUUAGGGUGAGCUUUGACGUUUUCUUUUUAGGUGGCUGCUUUUAAGCCUACUAAGCCUAAGUUAAAAUAUUAUGAUCAUUAUCCAAAGGUCUAGGUUGUCUCCUUUUUCAAUAGGGCUGUACCCCUAUUGAAUAUGGCUUAAGAUAAAGGCUUGCUUAGAAUUGCUAAGAUAUCUUAAGAGAGAACUAAGAUUCUUUUCUUGAGUAACCAGCUAUCACUAAGUUCGAUAGGUCUGUCACCGCUACUCGGAGGUCUUCCCACUCUUUUGCUACAGAGACGGGUUAACUCUAAAGUUGCCUCGGAGUAGCUCACUUAGUUUCGGGAAGUCAGACUAAAAGUGCUUUUUGCCUGAUUUGACUAGUUAAAUCAUGAUGCAAAAGGUACAAGAUUUAGUCUUUGCUUUUUUGUGCUUAAAUUAUUUGUUUCAUUUCUAUUUCAUCUUUCCCUUGCGGUACUAUUUAUAUUGCUCCGGGUUCCGUUUCUAUCGCCUAUACUUGGGAUUUAGAAUGAUUUAUUAAGUUUAUUAGGGUUGUGAGGGGGUUUAUAAGGUAUUGGGUUGGGCUAGAAAGGUGGCGUCAAAAUGAUCUGGUUUUCACAGACAUUGUUUCGGUGUAAGCGAAAAGCUUUAGGUUAAGCUACAUUUUGAUUCCAAGCACACCUUCCGGUAUACUUACCAUGUUACGACUUACCUCCUCUAGGGUUAUGUUUAGGGUUUUAUUUAAUUGAGAUUUAAAUCGAGGAGGGCGACGGGCGGUGUGUGCGCGCCCUAGGGCCAGAUUAAAAAGAACGUUCUGGUUUCUUUUACC